rnacentral:misc_RNA from 1 species
GAAAUGCGAUAAGUAAUGUGAAUUGCAGAAUUCAGUGAAUCAUCGAAUCUUUGAACGCACCUUGCGCUCCUUGGUAUUCCGAGGAGCAUGCCUGUUUGAGUGUCAUGGAAUUCUCAACUCUAUUUGCUUUUGUGAAUAGAGCUUGGAUUUGGAGGUUUAUUGCUGGUACUUGUGAUCGGCUCCUAUUGAAUGCAUUAGCUCGAACCUUUGCGGAUCAGCUAUCGGUGUGAUAAUUGUCUACGCCGUUGCAGUGAAGCAUAUCAAUGGGCUCGGCUUCCAAUCGUCCUUUACUGGACAAUGACUUUGACCUUUGACCUCAAAUCAGGUAGGAUUACCCGCUGAACUUAAGC